UACAGAGGUCUCAACCGUUCGGAUUCAUUGGGCGUAAAGGGUGCGUAGGCGGUCGUGCAAGUCGGAUGUGAAAUCUCAGGGCUCAACCCUGAAACUGCAUUCGAUACUGCGCGGCUAGAGUGCUGGAGGGGAGACUGGAAUUUACGGUGUAGCAGUGAAAUGCGUAGAUAUCGUAAGGAAGACCAGUGGCGAAGGCGAGUCUCUGGACAGCAACUGACGCUGAGGCACGAAGGCCAGGGGAGCAAACGGG
rnacentral:rRNA from 1 species